GGGGAUGUGACAACUCUCCUUUCUUUCCCUAGGAUUGUUAUCAAGAGAUAUCUUACCAAUCACGAUCUGAGAAAUUCUUCCAAAAACAAUAUUACCUAAACAUAGGGAUAGAAGGGUUGGUUGCCUUUAAUCUUUUGUGUGAAUGUAAUGCAUAAUUUGUUGUUAAAGAUACAAGACAUUGUGAACUAGUAAUUAAGAGUAGGC
rnacentral:lncRNA from 1 species